rnacentral:lncRNA from 10 species
AUAGCAACAGCAGCGUAGCUGAACAUCUUACGGAUGGCCCAGGGCUCCAAAGGCUCGUUUCCUAAGUGAGAGAGAGCCUGGCUGAAGCUGUAUUACCAUUCAUUCUCCAGCCUCCGAAGUCUCAAAGCAUCACUUCCACCAUACUCUAACUGUCAAGACAAACACAAAGGCCCAGAAAGAAGAAUACACUAUCGAUGUUCCUUUUAAACAAGUAUUUGAGUAAAAGCGAUGUUUCCAAUGUGUGUCAGAAAGUGAAUACUUGUAUAUUUCCGCACGGUUAGAGCUGAGCUUUCCGAGCAAAUUUUACUGGGACCCGGUUGAAAGACAGGUCUUGGAAGUGAAAUGAUGACUGACUAGAUGACAUUACAUGUAAAUGGAAUCAUACAAUAUGUGAUCUUUUGUGACUGGCUUCUUUCACUUAGCAUAACGUUUUCAAGAAACUGCCAGACUGUCUUCUGAAGUGGCUAUAAUAUUUACACUCCCAUCAGCAGUGUAGAAGGGGUCUCACUAUGUUGUCUGGAGUGCUGUGGUGGAGUGGAGUGGCUAUUCACAGGAUUCUUGGAAUGGACUGUAAAAGUCUGGAAUCAAGACUUUGUGUUUCCUCUCUAACAUGUAAAGAGCUUAGAAGUUGUCGCUAUUGCCCUUACAACAAAAUGAAGCUGGACAAACUGAAAAUCAAUGACUUUUCUUGGACUCACUAUACAGCUGAGUUUGCAGAGUAAACCACUACCCUGAAAUCUGGAAAGGCAGGUGCACCCACAGAUCCUCAGCUGAGAUCCAAUUACCUGAAAUAGAAGCUGCCAUUAGGAACACUUAAAAG